AAGCGUUCACUCCACCACUUGCGUGGAGCGCAGUUCGAUCCAGGCCAAGGAACGGGGACCUGGA
ncrna:unclassified sequences Glutamine-II riboswitch (downstream peptide RNA)